AGCAGCCGCGGUAAUUCCAGCUCCAAUAGCGUAUAUUAAAGUUGUUGCAGUUAAAAAGCUCGUAGUUGAAUUUCGGGAUCAAUAUACCGGUCGUGCCUCAGGUAUGAACUGGUCUUAUUGGUUUCUCCCUUCUGACGAACCAUGAUGUCAUUAAUUUGAUGUCGUGGAGAAUCAGGACUGUUACUUUGAAAAAAUUAGAGUGUUUAAAGCAGGCUAACGCUUGAAUACAUUAGCAUGGAAUAAUGAAAUAGGACGUUCGAUCCUAUUUUGUUGGUUUCUAGGAUCGACGUAAUGAUUAAUAGGGAUAGUUGGGGGCAUUAGUAUUCAAUUGUCAGAGGUGAAAUUCUUGGAUUUAUUGAAGACUAACUACUGCGAAAGCAUUUGCCAAGGAUGUUUUCAUUAAUCAAGAACGAAAGUUAGGGGAUCGAAGACGAUCAGAUACCGUCGUAG
rnacentral:rRNA from 1 species